rnacentral:ribozyme from 1 species
ACAGAUGAGCACAAACAUAAUGAACGACGGAAACAAUAAAUCAAAAUGAGUCACUGCAGCGAAAAGUUCUUUUCCUCCAAUUUUUGUAGGUUCUGCAUCUUCAGUUAAUGGCUUUUCUUUC